AAUUCAUCAACUGCUUCAUUGCGGUUGGAUAUGGGCGCUUUGAGACUUCACAGUCUCAAUAGCCUGAAUUUCAAUGUUACGCUUCCUUGAACCAACAGUUCUAGGGCAUACGCAUGAAUGAGGCAACUCACAAGUACGUUUGUCGUCAAGGGCUGUCAGUUUGCUUGGAGUGUGUAACUCAACCAUUACCCAGAGUUGGCUGACGUCAGUCGGCCUUCCCUGAAC
rnacentral:misc_RNA from 1 species